AUCGAACGCUGGCGGCAGGCUUAACACAUGCAAGUCGAGCGAGCGGCGGACGGGUGAGCAAUUUCUGGGAAACUGCCUGAUGGAGGGGGACUACUACCGGAAAUGGUAGCUAAUACCGCAUACAAUCAGCUGCGUCCAGUUGGGAUUAGCUAGUAGGGGGGGUAAUGGCUCACCUAGGCGACGAUCCCUAGCUGGUCUGAGAGGAUGACCAGCCACACUGGAACUGAGACACGGUCCAGACUCCUACGGGAGGCAGCAGUGGGGAAUAUUGCACAAUGGGCGCAAGCCUGAUGGAGCCAUGCCGCGUGUGUGAAGAAGGCCUUCGGGUUGUAAAGCACUUUCAGCGAGGAGGCGGUACUCGCAGAAGAAGCACCGGCUAACUCCGUGCCAGCAGCCGCGGUAAUAC
rnacentral:rRNA from 1 species